GGGGUUGUAGUGUAGUGGCUAUCACGCGUCAUUUGCAAUGACACUCAUAUGGAACCCUUCGGGUUAUCGGGUGUCAAGAGAAACUUGACGAGGUCCCGGGUUCAAUCCCCGGCGACUCCA
rnacentral:tRNA from 2 species